GCCUCGGUGGCGGAAUUGGUAGACGCAGCAGAUUCAAAAUCUGCCGCCUUCGGGUGUGCCGGUUCGAGUCCGGCCCGAGGUACCA
rnacentral:tRNA from 2 species